rnacentral:rRNA from 1 species
CAGUAGCCGCGGUAAUACGUAGGUGGCAAGCGUUGUCCGGAAUUAUUGGGCGUAAAGCGCGCGCAGGUGGUUUAAUAAGUCUGAUGUGAAAGCCCACGGCUCAACCGUGGAGGGUCAUUGGAAACUGUUAAACUUGAGUGCAGGAGAGAAAAGUGGAAUUCCUAGUGUAGCGGUGAAAUGCGUAGAGAUUAGGAGGAACACCAGUGGCGAAGGCGACUCUCUGGUCUGUAACUGACGCUGAGGAGCGAAAGCGUGGGAAGCAAACAGGAUUAGAUACCCCCGUAGUCCCUGUCUCUUAUAC